rnacentral:rRNA from 1 species
GACGAACGCUGGCGGCGUGCCUAAUACAUGCAAGUAGAACGCUGAAGGAGGAGCUUGCUUCUCUGGAUGAGUUGCGAACGGGUGAGUAACGUGUAGGUAACCUGCCUGGUAGCGGGGGAUAACUAUUGGAAACGAUAGCUAAUACCGCAUAAGAGUAGAUGUCGCAUGACAUUUGCUUAAAAGGUGCAAUUGCAUCACUACCAGAUGGACCUGCGUUGUAUUAGCUAGUUGGUGAGGUAACGGCUCACCAAGGCAACGAUACAUAGCCGACCUGAGAGGGUGAUCGGCCACACUGGGACUGAGACACGGCCCAGACUCCUACGGGAGGCAGCAGUAGGGAAUCUUCGGCAAUGGACGGAAGUCUGACCGAGCAACGCCGCGGGAGUGAAGAAGGGUGUCGGAUCGUAAAGCUCUGUUGUAAGAGAAGAACGAGUGUGAGAGUGGAAAGUUCACACUGUGACGGUAGCUUACCAGAAAGGGACGGCUAACUACGUG